GCUUCAGGAUGAUGGGGAAAAUGGUAAGACCAGUGAAUCCCAUGAGUGUGAGUCCACUGCUGUACUUCUUUAGCCAUAAAGCCAAUUGGGAGAGUUGAAGAGGAAUGUGGUGGGAAUCACCACCCCUGCAUCUUUCAAGUCCUUGAUGGUGCCACUGAUCUCUGCAAUCACUCCAGGGAUGCGAUAUUAUUUUUUGAUUUACUAUUUUUCUAGUUAAAGGCAGCUCUAAUGGCUCGAUUUGGCCUCUCCCACAGUAAUAGCCCUCAUCCUACCAGUCAGGGAGCCAAUGUGAGGAUUCUGCCAGCUGAUUACAGCUGAGAAGUCAACUCUGAAAUAUCACAUGCCAUAAUAUGGUCCUACUUACUGCAAGCAACUGGACUCAGUUCAUAUUCAUUACUUCAACCUCCUUCAGAUGAUGGAGGAAAUGCAACGAUGUGCAAAUCUCACUUUCUGAAUUCAUGCCUCUGGGGACAACAUGAGAUUCAGAAACCGGGGAAAUCACGGUUUCAGAUUCCAUCUUGUGUCCAAUGACACAUUGGAGACUGGUUGUUUUACCGAGGCUUUGACUGGAAGGGUCUGCUCCCCUUUAAAGAAUCAGUCUUGACUUGCAGAGCCAAUAAAAGUCCCUUGGGAAAACUGGCUUCAUACCUUGGCUACACAGUCAUUGUACAGGUUUCUUA